UCAAGCUAAAAAGGGCGCAAGGUGAAUGCCUUGGCACUGGGAGCCGAUGAAAGACGUGGUAAGCUGCGAAAAGCUUCGGGGAGGAGCAAACAUCCAUUGAUCCGGAGAUAUCUGAAUGGGGCAACCCAAUGGAGUUCAUACUCCAUUAUCCAAUACUGAAUCCAUAGGUAUUGGAAGGGAACCGCCUGAACUGAAACAUCUAAGUAGGGCGAGGAAGAGACAUCAAACGAGAUUCCGUAAGUAGUGGCGAGCGAACGCGGAAGAGGGCAAACCGAAGGUAGAAAUACCUUCGGGGUACGGACUGCUUUUAGGACUCAAUCUGUUAACCGAACGGCAUGGGAAGGCCGGUCAGAGAGUGUGAGAACCACGUAGGUGAAAACGGAAAGAGCUGCGCAGAUUCCAGAGUACGGCCAGACACGUGAAACCUGGUCGGAAGAUGGGGGGACCACCCUCCAACCCUAAAUACUACCCAGUGACCGAUAGCGUAUAGUACUGUGAAGGAAAGGUGAAAAGCACCCCGGGAGGGGAGUGAAAAAGAACCUGAAACCCUGUGCCUACAAGCACCUAGAGCGCGUCAAUGCGUGAUAGGGUACUUUUUGUAGAACGGUCCGGCGAGCGAUUGUAUGCAGCAAGGUUAAGGACUUAAGGUCUGGAGCCGAAGCGAAAGCGAGUUUGAAAAGGGCGUUAAGUUGCAUAUAAUGGGCCCGAAACCGGGUGACCUACCCAUGGUCAGGUUGAAGUGGAAGUAAAAUUCCAUGGAGGACCGAACCGACCUCCGUUGAAAAGGCGGCGGAUGAACUGUGGGUAGCGGAGAAAUUCCAAUCGAACCCGGAGAUAGCUGGUUCUCCCCGAAAUAGUUUUAGGACUAGCCUCAAGUUAGAUACCUGGAGGUAAAGCACUGAAUAGCCUAGCGGCCGAGAGGUUAGCGAAGCUUAUCAAACUCAGAAUGCCAGAGUAUUGAUGCUUGGGAGUCAGACAGUGUCAGAUAAAUGUCAUUGUCAAAAGGGAAACAGCCCAGAUCUACAGCUAAGGUCCCAAAGUCAGGUUAAGUGGAAAACGAUGUGAAGAUACGCAGACAACCAGGAUGUUGGCUCAGAAGCAGCCACUCAUUCAAAGAGUGCGUAAUAGCUCACUGGUCGAGCGUCUUUGCGCGGAGAAUUUAACGGGGCUAAACCUGACACCGAAGCUUAGGCAAUCCAGUAAUGGAUUGGGUAGGGGAGCGUUGUAUACGCGGAGAAACAGUAGCGUAAGCGGCUGUGGAGUGUAUAGAAGUGAGAAUGCCGGAAUGAGUAGCGCGAAUGCAGUGAGAAUCUGCAUGGCCGAAAGCCUCAGGUUUUUGGAGGAAGGUUCGUCCGCUCCAAGUUAGUCGGGAGCUAAGGUGAGGCCGGAAGGCGUAGCCGAUGCACAGACGGUAGAGAUUCCGUCACCACCAAAAGAGUUAAGCACAGGGACACAUUUGAAGUCUCAGAGCCGGGUGUUGGUUCCGGUAGAGAUCGAGGGAAAUUAGUACCGAAGUCUGAGAUGGAAGAUGGCGAGAAAAGCUGUGUGUAUUUCUGAGGUGCCCGUACCGCAAACCGACACAGGUAGGUAGGAAGAAGAUUCUAAGGCCAACGGGAGAAGGGUUGUUAAGGAACUCGGCAAAUUGACCCCGUAACUUCGGGAGAAGGGGUGCUCCAGAGAUGGAGCCGCAGAGAAUCGGCCCAAGCAACUGUUUACCAAAAACACAGGUUUGUGCUAAAUCGAAAGAUGACGUAUACGAGCUGACGCCUGCCCGGUGCUGGAAGGUUAAGAGGAGAUGUGCAAGCAUUGAAUCGAAGCCCCAGUGAACGGCGGCCGUAACUAUAACGGUCCUAAGGUAGCGAAAUUCCUUGUCAGGUAAG
rnacentral:rRNA from 1 species